rnacentral:rRNA from 1 species
CAGUAGCCGCGGUAAUACGUAGGGUGCGAGCGUUAAUCGGAAUUACUGGGCGUAAAGCGUGCGCAGGCGGUUGUGUAAGACAGGUGUGAAAUCCCCGGGCUUAACCUGGGAACUGCGCUUGUGACUGCACAGCUAGAGUAUGGCAGAGGGGGGUGGAAUUCCACGUGUAGCAGUGAAAUGCGUAGAGAUGUGGAGGAACACCGAUGGCGAAGGCAGCCCCCUGGGCCAAUACUGACGCUCAUGCACGAAAGCGUGGGGAGCAAACAGGAUUAGAUACCCGCGUAGUCCCUGUCUCUUAUAC